rnacentral:rRNA from 1 species
UACGGAGGGAGCUAGCGUUGUUCGGAAAUACUGGGCGUAAAGCGCACGUAGGCGGCGCAGCAAGUCAGGGGUGAAAUCCCGGGGCUCAACCCCGGAACUGCCCUUGAAACUGCAGUGCUAGAAUCUUGGAGAGGCGAGUGGAAUUCCGAGUGUAGAGGUGAAAUUCGUAGAUAUUCGGAAGAACACCAGUGGCGAAGGCGACUCGCUGGACAAGUAUUGACGCUGAGGUGCGAAAGCGAUGGGGAGCAAACAGG